CCCCCACUAGUCUGGGAUACCACUUGGAAACAGGUGCUAAUACCGGAUAAGAAAGCGGAUCGCAUGAUCAGCUUUUAAAAGGCGGCGUAAGCUGUCGCUAUGGGAUGGCCCCGCGGUGCAUUAGCUAGUUGGUAAGGUAAAGGCUUACCAAGGCGAUGAUGCAUAGCCGAGUUGAGAGACUGAUCGGCCACAUUGGGACUGAGACACGGCCCAAACUCCUACGGGAGGCAGCAGGC
rnacentral:rRNA from 1 species